GGUUCUAUAGUGUAAUGGUUAGCACAUCAGACUCUGAAUCUGAGAAUCUGAGUUCGAGUCUCAGUAGGACCA